UACGUAGGGGGCAAGCGUUGUCCGGAUUUAUUGGGCGUAAAGAGCGUGUAGGCGGCCGUACAGGUCAGCUGUGAAAACUCGAGGCUCAACCUCGAGACGUCGGUUGAAACCGUACGGCUAGAGUCCGGAAGAGGAGAGUGGAAUUCCCGGUGGAGCGGUGAAAUGCGCAGAUAUCAGGAGGAACACCCGUAGCGAAGGCGGCACUCUGGGCCGAUACUGACACUGAGGAGCGAAAAGCGUGGGGAGCGAACAGG
rnacentral:rRNA from 1 species